rnacentral:rRNA from 1 species
UACAGAGGGUGCAAGCGUUGUUCGGAAUUAUUGGGCGUAAAGCGCGUGUAGGCGGCUUUGCAAGUCGGGUGUGAAAUCCCUCAGCUCAACUGAGGAAGUGCGCCCGAAACUGCAGAGCUUGAGUACCGGAGAGGAUGGCGGAAUUCCCCAAGUAGAGGUGAAAUUCGUAGAUAUGGGGAGGAACACCGGUGGCGAAGGCGGCCAUCUGGACGGAUACUGACGCUGAGGAGCGAAAGCGUGGGGAGCGAACAGG